UCCUCCCUCUCUAAGUUGACCAUUGAGUAUUGCCCUAUUCUCCAAUCACUUCCAGUAAAAGGGAUGCCCUCUUCCCUCUCUACACUAACUAUUUUCCAAUGCCCAUUGCUCAGACCACUACUAGAAUUUGACAAGGGGGAAUACUGGCUAAAUAUUGCUCAAAUUCCCAUCAUACUGAUCGAUUAUAAAUACCUGUAAUGAUUAAAACAAAUGGUGCUCUGACAAAUUGUGGAAUGUCUAUUGCUCAAACCACGGCUACUGACAAAAAAUUGUUGAUAUUUCCACCAUAAAUGUUGAUUGGGAGAGCCUGUAAUGAUUAAAACGAGUGGUGCUUCAAUAAAUACUGAAAUAUUUUUCGCCAUCAUGAAAUAAAGUUCUGCUCAUAUCUUCACCAUAGAAGUCGAUGGAGAAUACAUUAAAUGAUUAAAACGAAUGGUGCUCUCACAAAUGAUUUUGGUAACAUUAUAUGUAAGCUAUUACUGCUCUAGCGCAGUUUGUAAAAGGAAAGUUCUGCUGUAAUUCUCUAUUGAAUAGACUGUGGUCUGA